UAUUUCAAUAAAAUUAUGUUAAAAUAACAAAUCUCCUUUUCGAAGUCGGGUUGAAAUUAAAAAUCGGAAAGAAUACAAAUAUAGACUGGAAGGAAAGAGUGAUAAUUUUCUAUUUUUAUAAAAAGCACACUAUAAUAGGAAAAUUAACAAUUAUUUAAAAUGCUAAAUCUAGUUAGUAUAUUAAUAAAAUUAAUGUUAUACGAACCCAUUAACACUAAGUUAAGGUCACUAAUUAAUAAAAUGUGGCACAGAUAUAUUUUAUCCUAAUACUAACUAUUUUCUAUAUUUUGUUUUCUAAGUUUUGCACUAUACACAUUAAGGCUUGUAGGUUAUUUAUUUUAGAGGUAUUAAAAUGGUUUUUUCAAGAAUUUAAUAACCUGACUUAUCUCUAAAUAAUACUGUAUAUUUUUUUUUGUUUAUACUCUCCCCACCUUGUUGAUAUUAUAAUAAAAUUAUUGCUUCAAAAAAUAAUCAAUUAUUGAAUUAACCUUAAGCCAUGACUAUUGCCAAAUAAUCAUCUAUGUACAGCGUCUAUAAAUGGAUGUACCUUUUGUUUUAAAAUAUUGCUAGUUGUUGUUGAAAAAAGGUAUUAUUGCAGCUAUUAACAUUGUAAAUAAUUAUUUCUAGACGAGAAAGAUUGUUUCCUAUAUUUUGUGAUAGUAUUUUGGAAAAUUAUUAUGUACCAUUUUGUAAUUAUCUAUUAAUCUUCACGUCAUUCAAAAACGUUGUAAAAGACCGACCGUUUUAGCAUGCUAAAAAGUGGGGUUUCUAUCGAAAAUUACAGUUAUAAAAACAUAGACACUAUAAUUUUUUUUUUUAAAUAAAUUACGUAAAUAAGUUUAAUUUUCUAAAAAAUCUAAGGCGAUUAAAUAUUGGGUGUUAAUAAGAUAACAAAGUGGAACAUAACGGUUGAUUAUUAUAGCAAUAUCAGAAAUUAAAUAAAUAAAAUAAGAAAUUCGAGGCUAUUAUGUAGGUAUUAAUAUUUGGAUAAAUACUAACAUUUAAAUUGUAGAUAUGGAAGAAAACUGCAAUAAUAUACCUAUACAUUUCAAUUUUUUUAAUAAAAGAAAAGUGAAAAAGUAGAUCAUUUUAAUGAUAUUGUUGCCAUAAUGAAUAAAUACAGUAUUGUUUGUUAUUUUAUUAUUACAGAAUUUUGUUGGUUAAUUUUUUUUAAAUAAGAAAUCAGCACAUUCUUUCUCUAUUGUUCACAAGCUAUUUAAAUUCUAUUGUUAUUAAUAUAAGGUUUCAAAUUAUUAUUAUUGUAUCUUGUUUAACUUUUGUACAUUUGGUUAUGCAAGUUUAAUAAAGAUUUUUAGUGUA